CAGUAGCCGCGGGAAUACAGAGGGUGCGAGCGUUAAUCGGAUUUACUGGGCGUAAAGCGUGCGUAGGCGGCUUCUUAAGUCGGAUGUGAAAUCCCUGAGCUUAACUUAGGAAUUGCACUCGAUACUGGGAAGCUAGAGUAUGGGAGAGGAUGGUAGAAUUCCAGGUGUAGCGGUGAAAUGCGUAGAGAUCUGGAGGAAUACCGAUGGCGAAGGCAGCCAUCUGGCCUAAUACUGACGCUGAGGUACGAAAGCAUGGGGAGCAAACAGGAUUAGAUACCCCCGUAGUCCCUGUCUCUUAUAU
rnacentral:rRNA from 1 species